CAUAUGUUUCAUGCUUGUUUGAGUAAUAGCAAUAAGAUUCCCCAAUAUCAUGCUAAGAAUAUCUAGGAUUUCCAGAAAAAAGAUUCCAUUCGUUUGAUGAGAAAUAAAAAAGAAUAUCAAAAAUUUGAGUGGCUGAAGCCGAAGCAGCUACUUUCAAAGUAACAUAAAGAAAAGCAAUGACUGGAGUGGGAGAGUCAGAGUCGAAAAGAGGAUUCCUCACUUUUUUCUCUCAUUCAAAACCGUGCAUGAGAUUUUCAUCUCACACAGCUCCUACGUGAUAAAAGUAAAGAAGAACUUAUCUUCUUUCCUUUUUUAUUACCUUCCUCGAGUAUGUAUAAGAUCGAACCCAUUCGAUUUCUAAAAUGGAUUACUAAUCCUUAAAUUUUUGAGGAAUCCUUCAUCAGUGGUUGUCAAUGACUAAUUUUUCUUAAUCUUUUUGACCUUGGUUCCAUAGGACCAAGUCAGAAAGAUUGAAAUGGGAUUAGAUACCCCAGUAGUCCUAGCCGUAAAUGAUGGAUACUAGGCGCUGUGUGUAUCGGCCCGUGCAGUGCUGUAGAUAACGAGUUAAGUAUGCCACUUGAGGAGUACGUUCGCAAGAAUAAAACUCAAAGGAAUUUACGGGGGCCCGCACAAGUGGUGGAGCAUGUGGUUAAUUCGACGCAAAGUGAAGAACCUUACAAGGGCUUGACCUACAGCGAAUCCUCUUAAAAGAGAGGGGUGCCUUCGGGAACGCGGACACAGGUGGUGCAUGGCUAUCGUCAGCUCGUGCCGUAACGUGUUGGGUAAGUCCCGUAACGAGUGCAACCAUCAUGUUUAGUUGCCACUAUUGAGUUUGGAACCCUGAGCAAACUACCAAUGAUAAGUCAGAGGAAGGUGAGGAUGACAUCAAGUCAUUAUGCCCCUUAUGCGCUGGGUGACACACAUGUUACAAUGGACAGGACAAAGGGUCACGAUCCCGCGAGGGUGAGCUAACUCUAAUAAUACGUCCUCAGUUCUGAUUGCAGGCUACAACUCGCUUGCAUAAAUCCAGAAUUCCUAGUUAUCGUCGAUCAGCCAUACGGUGCUGUAUUCGUUCCCGGGCCUUGUACACAUUACCCGUCACACUAUGGGAGCUAGCCAUGCCCGAAGUCAGUACCUUAAUCGCAAUGAGAGGGAUGCCAGAGGCAGGUCUAGUGACUAGAGUGAAGUCGUAACAAGGUAGUCGUACUGAAAGGUGUGGUUG
rnacentral:rRNA from 1 species